rnacentral:rRNA from 1 species
CACGGGGUUGCGAGCGUUGUCCGGAAUUAUUGGGCGUAAAGAGCGCGCAGGUGGUUGAUUAAGUCUGAUGUGAAAGCCCACGGCUUAACCGUGGAGGGUCAUUGGAAACUGGUCGACUUGAGUGCAGAAGAUGGAAGUGGAAUUCCAUGUGUAGCGGUGAAAUGCGUAGAGAUAUGGAGGAACACCAGUGGCGAAGGCGGCUUCCUGGUCUGUAACUGACACUGAGGCGCGAAAGCGUGGGGAGCAAACAGGAUUAGAUA